ensembl:misc_RNA Metazoa_SRP Metazoan signal recognition particle RNA
GCUGGGCGUGGUGGUGGGCGCCUGUAAUCCCAGCUACUCGGGAGGCUGAGACAGGAGAAUUGCUUGAACCCAGGAGGCGGAGGUUGCAGUGAGCCGAGAUGGAGCCACUACACUCCAGCCUGGGUAACAGAGCAAGACUCUGACUCAA